CCUGCUCUCUCCGCGCCUCGCCAGGCCGCACUGACGCUCGGGCUGAGCCCCGCAGCCUUUGCUCUGCUCCAAGCCUCACGCGUCACAAUGGCCGCUCCCUGACACCCACUGUGACAUCACGGUCACCGCCUCACAGAGGGUGUGGGCCUGGGUCCCCAGGCAACAGAGCAGACGCUCUGGCAGGCAGUGCAGAGUCACGUCAGGAAUUAUGGCUUCCCUCAACCUGCUGGCACUGCUGCCCCGGCCAGAGCCACGAGCGGAGCUGUCCCUUGGCCAAGGCUGCAGCGCUGGAGCCACGCUAGCAUUUCUUGGCUGAGUCCAGCCUAGGUUUCUAGACAGUCUAGUAAACAUUUGCAAGUCAACAGCAUAUUUGGUAUCUAGCGUGCAUGGUGGGUGACUUUCUACGUGGUUUGAUAGGUAUUGGACAAGCUGAACAAGCUUUAAUCUAAAAGAGGAGAUGAGAUUAACUCGUAGGGGAAAUGCUUUCCUCGGGGAUUUGGGAGUGGAUGUGCACUGCAACAGGUUGCCCGGGGAGGCCGUGGGGUCACCGUCCCUGGAUGCGUGCAGGAGCCAUGGAGAUGUAGCACUGAGGGGCAUGUUCAGUGGGCAUGGGAGGGAUGACCCGUCUGGAUGCCUACCUGUGCAGCCUGCUGAGCCUGCCCUGGCAGGCAGUUUGGACACGCUGAUCACCAGAGGUCCCUUCCAACCCCUACAGUUCUGCGAUUCAGUACUGCAGCCUCUUUAGCAGCAACGUGUGAUGUAUGAAAUUAUGAACUUAUGAACCACCAUCUCUCAUCCUUCACCUGUCACCUUCUUUGUCCUAACUGCUACUGCAAUGUAGCUCUCUGUUUGUUCACUGCAUUUUGCCAGCUUUGAUUUGUCACCAAAUUCUCAGCACAAUCAACAUUUUGUUCUUGUGAAAUAUGCUUGGGAAUAAUACCCUUCCCACUGGAAAAUUUGCUUUUUUGUUUUAUCUUCCUGAGGGACAUUUUUAGUUGGCACAGUGGGGAUGGGUAUGUGGUUGGAAUAGAUGAUUUUAGUGGUUUUCUCCAACCUUAGUGUUUCUAUAUGGAUCCGUCACGUGGAGUGCGAAAUUGUAU
ensembl:lncRNA